rnacentral:lncRNA from 10 species
UUAUUAAUCACCUGUGGCUAUUCUACGUUAGUUUCUUACUAUCGUUCUGGACCUUUCAACUUCUGAAUUUUAAAAAGUUAUAUGCGUGUGUGUGUGUGUACACACACUCAUAUGUAUAUGUUUUCUCUUCUUAGCUGUAGUAACCUGGAGGCAUAAAAGUGAAAAGCAAAGUAUUAAAAGAUGUAUAUCAGUGUUUAUACACAAAUUUCAAAGUCACUUUGAUAGGUUUUUUUUUGGUUUUGGUUUUGGUUUUUUUUGAUCCGGAGUCUCGCUCUGUCGCCAGGCUCCAGUGCAGUGGCGCGAUCUCGGCUCACUUGCAACCUCUGCCUCCCAGGUUCAAGCGAUUCUCCUGCGUCAGCCUCCCGAGUAGCUGGAACUACAGGCGCGUGCCACGACACCCAGCUAAUUUUUGUAUUAUUAGUAGAGACGGGGUUUCACCAUGUUGGCCAGGAUAGUCUCGAUCAAGAUCUUGACCUCGUGACCCGCCCGCCUUGGCCUCCCAAAGUGCUGGGAUUACAGGUGUGAGCCACCGUGCCUGGCCGAUUAUGAGUUUUUUAUUGUUCCGUUGGAACAUGAAAUUACCCAUCCUCUGAAGAUUCACGUGCUUAUGUAUUUCAUUUUAAAUAAUGGGGCCUAAAAGUAGAUGAUGGAUGGAAUUGAAGUGGGUAAAAUAAAUUAAUGGCUUUUUUGCUUUUGUUUUUGUUUUUAGUAUGUGUAUUGCUGGUAUUUUUGACAGUAAUUAAAAAUUUAAGCCAGGUCAUGAACUCAUUCCCUAUCAUUGUCACCUUAGAUCCUGGUGGCCAACGGGUUGUUAACUAGUUUGAAAUGAGAGAUAAAGAUAAGAAAGUAUGUCCAAGAGAAUGAUUUCCGUUAUCUCAAACUAAACAUGAAGAGCAAAUAGUUGGUUAUAUUGUUAUCUUCCUAACCUAUCUCUAUUCUCUGCAACACACUCUAAAUGAUUAGAAAAUAUCUUGAGCUUAUCGUCUGUCUUACAUCUAUCUUAGACGUAAGGUCUAAACCUGCCCACUAACAGGUUGUGACCCUAAACAAAUUUGGGCCUUUUCCUUCAUCCUUUAAAUAAGAUGGUAGACUAAAUAAGUACCUUUUAAGUAUAGUGGUAGACUAAAUAAGCACUCCUUUAAUUAGAAUAUUCUGUAAUUAUUCAUGGAAGAAAACUGGCACUUUAUUUCACAAAUCAAUAAUAAGAGGACAAGAGACUAACUUUCUGCAUUCAUAAAAGGGGUGAUGGUUAAAUUCAUUAAAAUUUAAGUGGGAAGGGUGGAUAUGAAUUAAAUUUUCUAAAGCAGCAGUCCCCAACAUUUUUGGCACCAGGGAUCUGUUUUGUGGAAGACAAUUUUUCCAUGGAUGGAGAUGGGGAGGGUUGAUGGUUUCGGGAUGAAGCUGUUCUAGAAAACUGCAGAUCAUAAGGUAUUAGAUUCUGAUAAGAAGCCACAACCUAAAUCCCACGCAUCCGCAGUUCACAAUAGGGUUCAUGCUCCUAUGACAAUCUAAUGCAGCCACUGAUCUGACAGGAGGCGGAGCUCAGGCAGUAAUGGUUACUGCCUGCUGUGUGGCCUGGUUCCUAAUAGGCCACAGAUGGGUACCUGUCCAUGGCCCAGAGUUUGGGGACCCCUGUUCUAAAGUAUAUGGAGGUUUAUUAACAUUCAUUAUGUUUUACUGACUGUAAGUAUUAAAAUUCCUAAAAAAUAAUAAUGGAACUAAAUUAUAAUGCUUGUCUUUCAACCGUUUUUCUUAAGUGUAUUCAUCUUUCUCAAAUUCAGCAACCUUUUACAAACCUUACAAAGGAAAAACGCAGUGACUUUACUGUCUAGAGUGAACUUUUACUGAUGGUUAUUGAAUGAAUAUUAUAAUAUGUACACACUAUUACUCUUGUUACAGUGUGACAUUCUUCAGAAUUCAUCCUGGAAUCAAUAUUAUGCCAAAGAAAAUUUUCUGAAAGCUACACAGAUCAUACCACUGCAACUCAGCCAACCAGCACAUCGGACAGUGGGAGGAGGAAUUCUUGGCUAAGAGUACUGAGAGAUGGGGUUUCACCAUGUUAACCAGGAUUGUCUCAAUCUCCUGACCGCGUGAUCCACCUGCCUCAGCCUCCCAAAGUGCUGGGAUUACAGGCGUGAGCCACCAUGCCUGGCCAAAAUUCUGUAUGUCUUUCUAAUCUCACUUCCUAAUGGAGAUAAAAUAGAUCUCAGGCUUAUGUAUUUUUCUAGAACAUUAAAAUCUUGUUUUUUGUGUAUUUAUUAUUAAGUUUACCUUCUAUUGUGGAAAACUCUAUUGAUUCUUCAUUUAAAAUAGUAAUAUAAAUUUUAUUUUCAAGGAAUGCAUUUAGGAAACUAAAGAAGUCAAUGUAAACAACAAAUAUUGAAUAAAUAAUAGUCCAGGUGAUACACAAAGUUGGAAAAUACUACAACACCUACCAUUAAGAAAUUAUUACCAAAUAGGUUG